rnacentral:rRNA from 1 species
CGGUAGGUGAACCUGCGGAAGGAUCAUUACCAGAUUCAAAA